rnacentral:rRNA from 1 species
GACGAACGCUGGCGGCGUGCCUAAUACAUGCAAGUCGAACGAGAGCAACCGGUGCUUGCACUGGUCAAUCUAGUGGCGAACGGGUGGGUAACACGUGGGUAACCUGCCCAUCAGAGGGGGAUAACAUCCGGAAACGGAUGCUAAAACCGCAUAGGUCUUCGAACCGCAUGGUUUGAAGAGGAAAAGAGGCGCACGCUUCUGCUGAUGGAUGGACCCGCGGUGCAUUAGCUAGUUGGUGAGGUAACGGCUCACCAAGGCCGUGAUGCAUAGCCGACCUGAGAGGGUGAUCGGCCACAUUGGGACUGAGACACGGCCCAAACUCCUACGGGAGGCAGCAGUAGGGAAUCUUCCGCAAAGGACGCAAGUCUGACGGAGCAACGCCGCGUGAGUGAAGAAGGUUUUCGGAUCGUAAAACUCUGUUGUUAGAGAAGAACAAGUGCUAGAGUAACUGUUAGCGCCUUGACGGUAUCUAACCAGAAAGCCACGGCUAACUACGUG